rnacentral:lncRNA from 1 species
AGGGAGCACUUAAAGAGGAAAGGAACGUGAAGGUUCUUCAAAGUGUGGACUUGAAGUUUUCUCCCUAACCAGUCGCCAAUACUAUUAAAUCCUUUCCGAAACAAUUAAACUGUUUUAAAACCAGAAAAAGGAGAAGGAGCACGUGAAACCAUCAGGAAGGAAGUUGAAAGAAAUCCAGGGGAAGUUAAAAGCCUAAGUUAACUAUUCCCUGUAAGGAGAAUUAUUUGCUAUAGGAUAUUUUGGAUAAAGAAAUUUAUGUGGACUAAAAAAGUGACUGCACGAAUAUAUGGAGUGACUAUUAAAAAUAAAAACACCACCUCUUGCUGAGAAAGACUCUGAAUCUUGAAAACUAAGUCAAUAUUCUCAGGAAGUAUCGCUUUACAUUUAACCUGUUGUUUCCCUCUGCUCUAGACACCAUAACUGGCUGCUGGGUGCUUCUGCAGAGAGGUCACUUGGCUCAAGAUUCAUUUGGUCUAUACUAAAAUAUCUUAUACAUAUCAGCAUGGUCUAACUGUUGAUAAGUUCAAAAAUAUAAUGCAUAUGUAUU